CACAAAGAAACAAGGUGAACGCAAGAAGAAAAACAAACGACAAAGGGUAGAAAAAGAACAAGACGAUACCAACAGCAAAGGUUCAGAUACCAAUGAUGACGACGAUGACAGGGAACAUGAUGCAGAUUUCAUUCCUACAGACGGCGAUGAUGCCGAAGAGCAUGACAGCGACGCAGAACAUGACGACGAUAACAAAUCAGGACAGAAGGACAGAAAGGGGAGAAAGACAAGCGGAAAAGAAUUGGCAGCACCAACAGUUGACGAAGAACAGCAAGAAACAAACGAAGAGAAAUGCCAAAUCAAGGCAGGGGCAGCAUUCGCUCAUGUCAAGAAAGCAUGGAAUUUACUUAAAGACCGUCACAAACAAGAUAUUAGGACGGCAGGAUUUGGCAGCAUAGAGAACUGCAAAAUAACGGGCUCCAUCUGCAGACCACUUGCAGCACACAUCUACGACAACCUAGACACAGAAAGCAUGACAAUCACCUUCGGUGAUGGUACCGAAGACAAGAAAAUCAAGAUUACCAAGGAAGCUAUACACAAGGUGUUUGGAUACCCAAACAGCACGGAAAAGUCAGGACCAAGGCCAGCGAAGAGCCCAACUUCAAUGAAAGAACUGAUGUCAGACCUUGGCUUCAAACAUACAAAUUUCAAGCCAAAAGAACUGUUCAGGGAGCUAAAAAUAUUGGUGGAACUAGAUGACGAACACUCAAACAGGAAAUCAGUUAAAAUAUUCCUUCUUAUUUUUUUCCACAACGUUGUCUGCGGGUCAAGCGUCGCUAUCUUCGCCCGACAAGCUAUAAUGGUAGAGGACAUGGACUAUCCAGAGAUGGCAAAGAUGGAUUUCUGCGAGGUAAUCGUCUAA
rnacentral:rRNA from 1 species